rnacentral:rRNA from 1 species
UCGCUUGUUGGUGAGGUAAUGGCUCACCAAGGCGACGACGGGUAGCCGGCCUGAGAGGGCGACCGGCCACACUGGGACUGAGACACGGCCCAGACUCCUACGGGAGGCAGCAGUGGGGAAUAUUGCACAAUGGGCGAAAGCCUGAUGCAGCGACGCCGCGUGAGGGAUGACGGCCUUCGGGUUGUAAACCUCUUUCAGCAGGGAAGAAGCGAAAGUGACGGUACCUGCAGAAGAAGCGCCGGCUAACUACGUGCCAGCAGCCGCGGUAAUACGUAGGGCGCAAGCGUUGUCCGGAAUUAUUGGGCGUAAAGAGCUCGUAGGCGGCUUGUCGCGUCGGUUGUGAAAGCCCGGGGCUUAACCCCGGGUCUGCAGUCGAUACGGGCAGGCUAGAGUUCGGUAGGGGAGAUCGGAAUUCCUGGUGUAGCGGUGAAAUGCGCAGAUAUCAGGAGGAACACCGGUGGCGAAGGCGGAUCUCUGGGCCGAUACUGACGCUGAGGAGCGAAAGCGUGGGGAGCGAACAGGAUUAGAUACCCUGGUAGUCCACGCCGUAAACGGUGGGCACUAGGUGUGGGCAACAUUCCACGUUGUCCGUGCCGCAGCUAACGCAUUAAGUGCCCCGCCUGGGGAGUACGGCCGCAAGGCUAAAACUCAAAGGAAUUUGACGGGGGCCC